rnacentral:tRNA from 1 species
UCCUUGUUAGUAUAGUGGUGAGUCUCCCUGCCUGUCACGCAGGAGACUGGGUUCAAUUCCCCAACAGGGAG